rnacentral:rRNA from 1 species
AGCCAACGAGGUACGGUAACUAGGAGAAAUAACCAUUUAAGGGACGGAGCCGUAGCGAAAGCGAGUUUUAACUGAGCGUUCAGUUACGUGACGUAGACCCGAAACCGGGCGACCUACCCAUGAGCAGGAUGAAGCGAAAGUAAAAUUUCGGGGAGGUCCGAACCCACGAGCG